CCACCCAACCCAACACCCUACUCGACAUUGCUCCUAUCCAACACCGAUACCUUCCCUAGAAACCUCGUUACCUUUCCUAAUGAUGCCUUCCUCCGGCAACCCCAAUCCCAACUCCGGCGAUCAUCUCCCCUUUCCGGCCGGGGCCUCAUCUUGCGACCUCGAUCCUAUCUCCAACGACCUCGUUCCCCUCCCUGGCAACCCCAUCCCCCUCCCUGGUAUUGAAUUGGGGCAGCUACGCACCCAGCGAAGAUCUAGAGUCGGUAGGGGAACAGGACCCAGACAGGAAUCGGAUCGAGGCAGUAUCCAUGAGCUCUGUGCGUAAGGAAUCAUUGGAGUGAUCGUUGCAAGCUCUGAUCCAGGUGGGAAUCGAAGACCCAAAAUAACCAUGUUCCAUCUUCAGUUUGCUUCUGCAUUCAAACAACAGUACUUAUGGUCAUCAUAGCCAUUGUUGUGUGUUCAUACUACUUGUAAUCAUAUUUCCAGUCCACCUCACAGCAUGGAUGAACUUGGGCAACCUGGCCAUGCAGCAGGGGGACUUAGUGUUGUUUCAGCCUGGUUCCAAGAGAAAUGGUGAGAACAGCAUGCAAGAAGUAGCUCUUAUGACACAUUGAUAUGAAACAGGCCGGUAAAAAUUGAAAAGCACUUGUAGCCUGCAUUGAUAUGCUGAAUGUUUUAGCUCGAUGUUGUUUCAAUAGUUGUAUCUUCAUAUUGUAAGUUAACUAUACCAUUGUAUUGGCUCCUUGGGUAGCAACAUGGAAACUCUUUUAUUUUUUCCUCUAAGAUAAAUGAAGGACAAUGCUCCUGCCAUUUGCGUCAA